rnacentral:lncRNA from 1 species
GGAAUAAAAUUGAAUUGUAACUGGAAUAUGAAAAGCAGCCUGCACACGCUUUGUGCAAAUUCAAAAGUGAUCAAGCGCGCUUGUGAUAAAACAAAGACUGUAAUUAACAAUCUGAUUGGAUAAUUUAAAUAAAUUAAGAACAAUGAUUGGCUAGCAUCCUAGAUACCAACCAUAGCAAUUAGUAAAAGAUUAGGGCUGCAGAAAUUAUGAUUUCCAAUCAUGAUUGGAUAAAAGGAACUUCCUGGAGACGGUAAUUAAUU